rnacentral:lncRNA from 1 species
GUAUGCGUGUUACAGAGAGGGCUGUUACGGUGACCGAAUUACCGCAACAUCGGCCGUCACAAGUCAUGACCGCAGUCAAAUUCCAUGUGACCGUUUAGUCACAGCAACUAGGCUUCUCCAAGCUCUGAUGGUCAUUAGUAGUCUACCAACCUUGCUAACUGCCUGGUACUCUGCACUCCAUUGUCCCUCUAAUCAAUAUUGACUAGAUCAAACACUUCAUGAGAGCCCAUGAGCCCAUGUUGCGGAACAUUUCUAUAGGCUAUGCAAUUGCGUGAGUAACAGAGUUUUGACAGUUUCUAUUAAAAAGAGGAUCCCAUCAGCUUUCUAUACGCUCGGCCCUACUAUAUUUAUUUCUCAACUUUCCUAAUAUUAAGCACAUUGCUUUGCAACAGGAGUACAGCCUACCUGGCUGGCAUGAAAAUGAACCACGGGGAAAAGCGUCCUCCAUUCGCUAUUUACAGUUUUCAUUGUUCUCGUACUAAUGAGAUUUACCAGUUAUGGGAGAUGGGCCCGGGGAUUUGCCAGCCAUAUUUCUGAGCGUCUUUCACAGCUGUGCCAAGCAGAGCAGCCUGGUGCAUGAGCUUCUUGGGAAUGCAGCCCACGUUCACACACGUACCACCAAUGCCCCACUUAGUACCUGAAAGAAAUAGGCUUGGGCGCUAUGUCCCCCAACGCGGAGUGAAAAAGUUAGUGAACCCCUGGUCAAGAACACCG